AUUUUUUGGAUCUGAGUCUAGUUCCUUCGAUAUCGAUGUAAUCUAGUAAUCAUGAUUGCAUAGGUAUCGAAGGAACUAGACUCAGUUCCGAAAUAU